rnacentral:rRNA from 1 species
AUACGUAGGGGGCAAGCGUUGUCCGGAUUUACUGGGUAUAAAGGGAGCGCAGGCGGAUUCGUAAGUCAGGGGUGAAAUCCUACAGCUUAACUGUAGAACUGCCUUUGAUACUGCGAGUCUUGAGAUCGGAAGAGAGAGACGGAAUUCCAGGUGUAGUGGUGAAAUACGUAGAUAUCUGGAAGAACACCGAUGGCGAAGGCAGUCUCUUGGUCCGUAUCUGACGCUGAGGCUCGAAAGCGUGGGGAGCAAACAGGAUUAGAAACCCCAGUAGUCC